UACGUAGGGUGCAAGCGUUGCCCGGAUUUAUUGGGCGUAAAGGGCGCGUAGGCGGCUCGGCACGUCCGUUGUGAAAUCGCCCGGCUCAACUGGGCGGGGUCAGCGGAUACGGCGUGGCUGGAGCAAGCUAGGGGGCAAUGGAAUUCCCGGUGUAGUGGUGGAAUGCGCAGAUAUCGGGAAGAACACCCGUGGCGAAGGCGGCUCUCUGGAACGGUACUGACGCUGAGACGCGAAAGCGUGGGGAGCGAACAGG
rnacentral:rRNA from 1 species